UACGGAGGAUCCAAGCGUUAUCCGGAUUCAUUGGGUUUAAAGGGUGCGUAGGCGGAAUGAUAAGUCAGUGGUGAAAGCCUGUUGCUUAACAACAGAACUGCCAUUGAUACUGUCAAUCUUGAGUACAUUUGAUGUGGGCGGAAUGUGCCAUGUAGCGGUGAAAUGCGUAGAUAUCAAGAGGAACACCUGAGGUGAAGACGGGUUGCUGGGCCGACACUGACGCUGAGUGCGCGAAAGCCAGGGGAGCAAACGGG
rnacentral:rRNA from 1 species